GCUAGGAUGAACGCUGGCGGCGUGCCUAACACAUGCAAGUCGAGCGGAGAUAAGUUGAAGCCUAGCGAUUCUACCUUAGCGGCGGAUGGGUGAGUAACACGUGGGUAACCUGCCCUGCACUGGGGAAUAACAGCUGGAAACGGCUGUUAAUGCCGCAUAUGCGCACGGAGCCGCAUGGCUUUGGGCGGAAAGAUUUAUCGGUGCAGGAUGGGCCCGCGCCGGAUUAACUAGUUGGCGGGGUAACGGCCCACCAAGGUGAUGAUCCGUAGCCGACCUGAGAGGGUGACCGGCCACAUUGGGACUGAGACACGGCCCAAACUCCUACGGGAGGCAGCAGUGGGGGAUAUUGCACAAUGGGGGAAACCCUGAAUGCAGCGACGCCGCGUGAAGGAUGAAGUAUUUCGGUAUGUAAACUUCUAUCAGCGGGGAAGAAGAUGACGGUACCCGACUAAGAAGCCCCGGCUAACUACGUGCCAGCCGCCGC
rnacentral:rRNA from 1 species